GUUCGGGCCCUGUGUUUCGACCGGCCCCGAACCUCGUCAGGCCCGGAAGGGAGCAGCGAUAGGGUGUUCGUUUCGAGGGCGCAGUACAGCCGGAACCCU
rnacentral:SRP_RNA from 1 species